rnacentral:lncRNA from 1 species
UUCAGUCCUACUUGAUAACCAAUAACCAUUCUAGGUUCUACCCCGAGAAGGAAUGGUGGUAUUGCUUUUGAAUAUAGGAAGGUAAUAUAGGAUCCAUGGUUGAUAUGGCUGAACUUAGGUGGAGCUAAUCUUUUAGCUACCAUCUUCAUCAAAGGUCAUGAUCCUUAGCAUUUCUACAUGUUGGAUUUCAUUUUAGCCUAUGUUUGGUUA